CAGUCGCCGCGGUAAUACGAGGGGGGCAAGCGUUGUUCGGAAUUAUUGGGCCUAAAGCGCUCGUAGCCUGGCCGGUAAGUUCCCCGUGAAAUCGGGUCGCCCAACGAUUCGGCUCGCGGGGAAUACUGUCGGUCUUGGGGCCGGGAGACGCCGAGGGUACUCCGGGGGUAGCGGUGAAAUGCUGUAAUCCUCGGGGGACUACCAGUGGCGAAGGCGCUCGGCGAUAACGGGCCUGACGGUGAGGGGCGAAAGCUGGGGGCGCGAACGGGAUUAGAUACCCCCGUAGUCCCUGUCUCUUAUA
rnacentral:rRNA from 1 species